rnacentral:piRNA from 1 species
UAGUCAAGGAGUUUAUUAAAAUUGCUAUUGAU